rnacentral:snRNA from 1 species
CCAUAGCCCUGAUAGAAGGGAAAAUCCUUGUUUGCCGGUGUUCGGCAAAUAAGAUUGGAAUGAUAGCGGGAAUAGCU